rnacentral:precursor_RNA from 15 species
AAACAUCGUCUACCUCUGCUGUCUAUUAACGCGUCAAAAUGACUGUGAGCUAUGUGGAUUUGACUUCAUAUCACAGCCAUUUUGACGAGUUUGUUGGACAGCCAGCCUCAUCAACGUGGAA